CUCGCAGCUGCCAGACCUGCUCCUGCUGCUGCUCCGGGAGAGCACCUGGGGAAACUCUGGGGAAACUGUUUCUGACCACCGAGAAGAUGAUGAGCUCAAGUUAUUGGAGUGAGACCAGCAGCAGCAGUUGUGGGACCCAGCAGCCCACGGAGGUCCUGCAGUGCCAGCCUCAGCAUUACCACUGCUACCAUCAGUCAAGUCAAGCCCAGCAGCCUCCAGAAAAAAAUGUAGUGUAUGAGCGAGUGAGGACCUACAGUGGGCCUAUGAACAAGGUGGUGCAGGCCUUGGACCCCCUCGGCUCACGGGAAGUGCUCUCCCCUCUCAAACCAGCCUCCUCCUACCAAAAUUUGGUUUGGAGCGACCAUUCUCAGGAGCUCCAUUCUCCAACUCUGAAAAUAUCUACUUGUGCACCAAGCACUCUCCAUAUAACACAAAAUGCUGAACAGGAACUCCAUUCUCCAACAGUGAAAGUUACUACAUAUCCACAAACCACCAUUAGAAGAUACAUAGUACAAAAUCCUGACCAGGAACCAUUGUCCCCUUUCCUAAGAGGAGGUCAAUUCUUCCCAGGAAACAAUGUCAUUUAUGAAAAAACAAUAAGAAAA
rnacentral:lncRNA from 1 species